rnacentral:rRNA from 1 species
AUUGAACGCUGGCGGCAGGCCUAACACAUGCAAGUCGAGCGGAUGACGGGAGCUUGCUCCUUGAUUCAGCGGCGGACGGGUGAGUAAUGCCUAGGAAUCUGCCUGGUAGUGGGGGACAACGUUUCGAAAGGAACGCUAAUACCGCAUACGUCCUACGGGAGAAAGCAGGGGACCUUGGGGCCUUGCGCUAUCAGACGAGCCUAGGUCGGAUUAGCUAGCUGGUGGGGUAAUGGCUCACCAAGGCGACGAUCCGUAACUGGUCUGAGAGGAUGAUCAGUCACACUGGAACUGAGACACGGUCCAGACUCCUACGGGAGGCAGCAGUGGGGAAUAUUGGACAAUGGGCGAAAGCCUGAUCCAGCCAUGCCGCGUGUGUGAAGAAGGUCUUCGGAUUGUAAAGCACUUUAAGUUGGGAGGAAGGGCAGUAAGCUAAUACCUUGCUGUUUUGACGUUACCGACAGAGUAAGCACCGGCUAACUCUGUGCCAGCCGCCGCAGUAA